rnacentral:rRNA from 1 species
AGUGAACGCUGGCGGUAGGCCUAACACAUGCAAGUCGAACGGCAGCACAGUAAGAGCUUGCUCUUACGGGUGGCGAGUGGCGGACGGGUGAGGAAUACAUCGGAAUCUACUUUUUCGUGGGGGAUAACGUAGGGAAACUUACGCUAAUACCGCAUACGACCUACGGGUGAAAGCAGGGGAUCUUCGGACCUUGCGCGAUUGAAUGAGCCGAUGUCGGACUAGCUAGUUGGCGGGGUAAAGGCCCACCAAGGCGACGAUCCGUAGCUGGUCUGAGAGGAUGAUCAGCCACACUGGAACUGAGACACGGUCCAGACUCCUACGGGAGGCAGCAGUGGGGAAUAUUGGACAAAGGGCGCAAGCCUGAUCCAGCCAUACCGCGUGGGUGAAGAAGGCAUUCGGGUUGUAAAGCCCUUUUGUUGGGAAAGAAAAGCAGCAGGUUAAUACCCCGCUGUUCUGACGGUACCCAAAGGAUAAGCACCGGCUAACUUCGUG